UACGGAGGGUGCGAGCGUUGUCCGGAUUUAUUGGGCUUAAAGGGUGCGCAGGUGGCCCUGCAAGCCAGUGGUGAAAUGCGGCCGCUCAACGGUCGAACUGCCAUUGAUACUGCCUGGCUUGAGAGGAGUGGAGGCCGCCGGAACGGACGGUGUAGCGGUGAAAUGCAUAGAUAUCGUCCAGAACGCCGAUUGCGAAGGCAGGUGGCUACGCUUCGUCUGACACUGAGGCACGAAAGCGUGGGGAGCGAACAGG
rnacentral:rRNA from 1 species